rnacentral:tRNA from 1 species
GGAGAGGUGGCCGAGUGGUUUAUGCGCUCGCUUGGAAAGCGUGUUCACAGUAAUGUGUCUAUGUUUCGAAUCCCUUCCUCUCCG